rnacentral:misc_RNA from 1 species
GCUUUUCAUCCUCUCAGCCUGACUUUUAAGCUCGCCCUUUGGCUCUUUUCUUUGUAUUCAGCCAUUUGCAUCUCGUUGACCAUUCUGGUUCAUGCCUGAAGCUUCAGGUUCACACAAGAUGGCAGAGGCAAUUCCAUUUGGUGUAGCUACUGAGAUACUGACCAAGCUGGGCUCUUCUCUCUUCCAAGAAAUCGGGUCUUUGUAUGGUGUGAAAAAGGACUUGCAGGAGCUUGAGAACACGCUUUCCACCAUCAAAGCCGCUCUUCUUGAUGCUGAGGAGAGACAAGAAAAGAGCCAUUUGGUGCAAGACUGGAUAAGAAAGCUUAAAGAUGUUGUCUUUGAUGCUGAUGACUUGCUGGAUGCAGCUGCAACCAGAGCUUCACAGCUUCAGGUGGAGACUCAUGGUUGGAAAAUCGAAAAGGUAUCUCCAAAUUCAAUCGCUUUUAGAGGCAAAAUUAGCCGUAAAAUUAAGAACAUCAGAGGGAGAUUAGAUAGAAUUGCAGAAGAUAUGGGUAGGUUCAAUUUCAGGGAGAGAGUCGUAAACUUGCAAGUUGGGAAUAGGGAGAGGGGGCAAACUCACUCUUUUGUUCUGACUUCAGAAGUUGUUGGUAGAGAUAAGAAUAAAGAGGAAAUUAUAGAAUUGCUUAUGUCCUCUGGCAAGCAGGAAAAUUGUUCCAUUAUUCCAGUUGUUGGUAUUGGAGGUUUAGGUAAAACUACUCUUGCCCAAUUCGUUUAUAGUGAUGAAAGGGUGGUUAACUUUUUUGAAAAGAGGAUGUGGGUGUGUGUUACUGAAGAUUUUGAUGUAGAAAAGGUUGUUCGAAAAAUCUUAACUUCCAUGACAAAUGAUGAAGUGGGUAACUUAGAUAUGGAUCUGUUGCAAAUUCGCCUUCGAGAAAAAUUGAUUGAUAAGAGGUACCUUCUUGUUUUGGAUGAUAUGUGGAAUGAGAACCUUGAGAGAUGGAUCUGCUUGAAAAAUUUGUUAGUAGGUGGUGCUAAGGGAAGUAAGAUUCUUGUGACCACUCGAAGUAGAAAAGUUGCAUCUGUUAUGGGUGUGGAAUCCUCAUACUUGUUGAAAGGUCUAACUGAAGAAGAAUCUUGGACAUUGUUUAAGAAAGUUGCAUUUCCAGAGAGACAGGAGACAGUUGAUGCAAACCUGGAAGCAAUUGGUAAAAGAAUAAUUGAGAGGUGCAAAGGAGUCCCUCUAGCUAUAAAAACUUUGGGGAGUGUUAUGCAAUUCAAAACAGAAGAAAGUGAUUGGUUGGCCAUUGAUAAUAGCGAAAUCUGGAAGUUAUCUGAAGAAUCUAAUGAUAUUUUACCAGUACUGAAGCUGAGCUAUGAUCACUUGGCCGUUAAUCUGCGUCAAUGUUUUGCCUAUUGUUCAAUAUUCCCCAAGGGCAACAGCAUCUGUAAAGAUCAGUUGAUCCUGCUGUGGAUGGCACAAGGUUAUAUUCUAUCUUCAGGUGGAAAUCAGAAUUUAGAGGAAAUUGGUGAUCAAUAUUUCAAUGAUUUGCUGUUGAGAUCAUUUUUUCAAGAGGUUGAAAAAGAUGAUUGUGAUAACAUAAUAAGUUGCAAAAUGCAUGACCUGAUACAUGAUCUUGCACAAACUGUAGCAGGGACUGAUUGCUCAAUUUCAGGAAUUGAUGUUGAAAAUACAUCUGGAAGAGUACGCCAUUUGUCAUUUGAAGGGUCUCUAUACUAUGCAUGGGAAGUUCCAAGGCACUUACGGAAGGUAAAGGGAUUGAGGACCUUCCUUUUACCUGUUAAUGAUCGUUGGAUAAAUGAAUCCAGUCAAGCCAUUCUUACUUCAAAUUUUAGACGAUUGCGUGUGUUGGACAUGCAUUGUUUAGGUAUUGAAAAGCUGCCAUGCUCCGUUGGUAAGUUGAAGCACUUGAGGUAUCUUCAAAUGUCAGCAGUUUAUAAAAUUAAAUCACUUCCAAACUCUAUUUGUAGUUUGUAUAAUUUGGAAACUCUAAUUCUCAUGGAUUGUUGGGCACUGAAAGAAUUACCGAGAGACUUGAGAAAGUUGGUUUGUCUUAGACACCUCGAUAUUGCAUACUGUGAAAGUCUAGAAUGCAUUGUUCCUAUUCCAAAAUAUUCUUCCUCUUUUUCAUCUGCAUCAACAACAUUCUUCCCGUCCCUAAAGAUUCUUGAAAUCUGGAGCUGUCCUAACCUGAAGGGAUGGUGGAGAAUGUGGAUGGAUGCUGAGCUAGUGCCUCAGUUUCCUUGUCUUUCUCAGUUAGUCAUUGAUAAUUGCCCUUACCUGACUUUGAUGCCAACAUUUCCAUCUCUGGAAAAGGAGCUGUGGCUAUGCAAUGCCAACAUAAGACCAUUGGAUCAGACAUUGAACGUGAAGAUGAUGGGGGCAACGGCUUCCGCAUUACCAUCAACGUCUUCUUCUCCUUCUUCUUCAGUUGCUGCUCCACUUUCCAAAUUAAAGUCUUUGGUUUUAGAGGGGAUUGAGAAUCUAGCAUCUCUACCUGGAGAGUGGAUGAGGAACCUCACAUCAAUUGAAUAUCUACAGAUCUCUAGAUGCCCCAAUUUGACAUCCCUACCAAAAGAAAUGUGUCAAAUCACCACUUUACAAGAGUUAAAUAUUGAUCAUUGCCCCCAUUUAUCUGAAAGAUGCGGACACCAUGAGGCUGCAGAUUGGUCCAACAUUGCUCACAUCCCAAAUAUCGUGAUUGAUGGGCGUGAUAUUCAAAAGGAGGGCUGCUAUUUAUUGGAAGAGGAAGGAUCCUCUUCUUCCACAGAGCAAGAAUAAAAAACAAAGGAUCAUUCAGCUGUCUAUCAUGUUCAGUAUAUACCUCUCUCCAUAUUGUAUUUCAAUUGUUUCAUGAUUCUUCAAACUCUGACUUCUGUCCGGUGGCUUAUUGUGUGUUAUGGAAAGCUAAAUGGACAAGUUUACUUGUGUCAGCUUAUAUUUAUAUAGGUUCUUGUCUCUGAAUGCCAUUCUUCACCAUCUUUUGGGCUCUUCUUAUCAGGGGAAUUCUUAUUUGUAUGCUUCUGUAAAUGCUUCGGGUUGAUAUGGCAGCUCCUGUGAUUCCACAGGUUAAUUGUAUACUUCCCUUCCCUUUUUUUCUUUUGUCAAUUAGCAAUCUCUAUUAGCAUCCACUUCUGUGAGGGCACAAAGCAAGUGUGCAGUUUACAUCAAACAGCGCAUCUUCUUAUGUGUCCUGUGCUAUUCCACUUCUAACAAAUUACUGAUGAGAAGGCAGUGAGUUGAUUAUAAAAGUCUGAUGGGUACCUUCCACUUCAUCUUCUUAUAUGUCUAAGAUUAUGCUUGUGCAGGCUGUAUGUGCUUUCACAAGCUAUUAGAAAACCUUAUAGCAGAUAGUCUCUAAUUUUAUUUUACCUGUGCAUCUAAGUGUAGAACAAAUUUUCAUUCUCUCGGUGCAGCAAUUUGGUGAAAUUCCCACAUCUUUGCUUAAAAGAGAAGCAGUGAAAUGCAUCUCUGAGUCAUUGAACAACGAAUACACACAGCUAAUGCGAGAGAAGAUCCGUCACUUGUCAAAGUUAGUUUGAAGUCCAACAACUAGCGACUGACAAUAGUCGAAGUAAAUAAAAAUCACGAGUCUGAUAUAUGUUUUCUUUGUUUCUUCCUUCCAAAUUUCCAUUGUUCUAGUCCUCUUUUACAAGUACUGAGAGGUUCAUUUUUGCUGUUGUGGAUGGAUAUGGAGGCAACUGAACAUUGUUCAUGGAAUGGAGAAUUUUGGUAAUACAUUCUCUUUUGUCUUAGGAUCUGAAACCUUAUAAUAUUUAAAGGCCAAAACAAAUCAAGAAAAUUUGUCCACCAUUG